rnacentral:rRNA from 1 species
GUAGUCCUUUAGCUUGUCUCAAAGAUUAAGCCAUGCAUGUCUAAGUAUAAGCAAUUAUACAGCGAAACUGCGAAUGGCUCAUUAUAUAAGUUAUCGUUUAUUUGAUAGUACCUUACUACUUGGAUAACCGUGGUAAUUCUAGAGCUAAUACAUGCUAAAAAUCCCGACUUCGGAAGGGAUGUGUUUAUUAGAUUAAAAACCAAUGCCCUCCGGGGCUCCUUGGUGAUUCAUGAUAACUAUUCGAAUCGCAUGGCCUUGCGCCGGCGAUGGUUCAUUCAAAUUUCUUCCCUAUCAACUUUCGAUGUUUGGGUAUUGGCCAAACAUGGUUGCAACGGGUAACGGAGGGUUAGGGCUCGACCCCGGAGAAGGAGCCUGAGAAACGGCUACUACAUCCAAGGAAGGCAGCAGGCGCGCAAAUUACCCAAUCCCGACUCGGGGAGGUAGUGACAAUAAAUACUGAUACAGGGCUCUUUUGGGUCUUGUAAUUGGAAUGAGUACAAUUUAAAUCUCUUAACGAGGAACAAUUGGAGGGCAAGUCUGGUGCCAGCAGCCGCGGUAAUUCCAGCUCCAAUAGCGUAUAUUAAAGUUGUUGUGGUUAAAAAGCUCGAAAUUUGAAC